UAAUGGCCUACCAAGGCUUCGACGGGUAGCUGGUCUUAGAGGACGACCAGCCACACUGGGAGUGAGACACGGCCCAGACUCCUACGGGAGGCAGCAGUGGGGAAUCUUGCGCAAUGGGCGAAAGCCUGACGCAGCAACGCCGCGGGGGGAUGAAGGCUCUCGGGUCGUAAACCCCUUUCAGUGGGAACGAAAAUGACGGUACCCACAGAAGAAGCACCGGCCAACUACGUGCCAGCAGCCGCGGUAACAAGUAGGGUGCAAGCGUUGUCCGGAUUUAUUGGGCGUAAAGGGCCCGUAGGCGGCUUGAUAAGUCGGGUGGAAAACUCCUGGCUCAACCCGGAGACGCCACCCGAUACUGUCAUGGCUUGAGUAUGGUAGGGGAGUGCGGAAUUCCUGGUGUAGCGGUGAAAUG
rnacentral:rRNA from 1 species